GCGCACCAGGCGCGAAUCCUCCGCAAUGCGGGAAACCGCGACGGGGUCACCCCGAGUGCCGCCCUAACGGGUGGCUGUGGCCCGGUGUAAACAGCCGGGCUUAGAAAGGGAGGGCAAGGCUGGUGCCAGCCGCCGCGGUAAAACCAGCUCCUCGAGUAGGUCGGGGCUAUUAAUUGGGCCUAAAGCGUCCGUAGCCGGCCCCGUAAGUCCUCGGUUAAAAUCCCACGGCUUAACCGUGGGACUGCCGGGGAUACUGCGGGGCUUGGGGGCGGAGAGGCCGGGGGUACUCCCGGGGUAGGGGUGAAAUCCUGUAAUCCCGGGGGGACCACCAGUGGCGAAGGCGCCCGGCUGGAACGCGCCCGACGGUGAGGGACGAAAGCCAGGGGAGCGAACCGGAUUAGAUACCCC
rnacentral:rRNA from 1 species